UUGGAGUACUAUGUGUGACUUCAAGAC
rnacentral:sRNA from 1 species